rnacentral:lncRNA from 1 species
GUUCCAAUGGUGCUGGCUGUUUCAACAGGCAGUUAACAUCGGGGUGAAGCCAUGCCAUUAUUUCCCCGAAUAACCAGGGUAAGGAGGGGGUGGGGGAUACUGUAACGAAGUCUGUGGAGUUGGAGUAUAAGGUGGAGGUAGAUCAACUGGGUACUCCAUUUCAUGUUCAUAACUGUAUGGUGGUGGAGUCACCGGGUAGGUGCUGAUGGUGUUGAUGUGCGUUGUCCGGAUGACCCCCACUCGGGUGCCACGGUUGUUCUUCAUGCACAUGCAGAUGCAGAUGGCAAUCCCGGCAAUCACGCCCAUGAUGAAUACGAUGCCGAAAACAAUUCCAGCUAUUGCCGUGCCUGAAAGGACAUUCCCAAUGUAAGCAUAAUAUGAACAGCAGUAGGGAGCGGUCCC